UAUCAGAGCAAGGAGGUGAAGAUACAGAUAUGGGAGAGGUGCCAGAAAUCCAAAUUUGAAGCAAAGAUAAGGAAUGCCGAGGACAGGAACUGCAUAGUAGGGUGGCAUCGCCAUAGAGUUGAGAAACGCGGCCUAUGUCUCAUUGGUGGCACUUCUCCCGAGCAAGGACAUGACGUACUCCAUCACCACAGCAUCGCAUGGCAGCUUGAUCCUGUCUUCUCUGCUUGCGAAGCCAACCACCUUUUUGGACAUCCGUAGAAGCUCGCUGAAGACCACUGUGCUGAGAUAUGCCAAUGGCACCUUGAACCUUCUCCCAUCAGUGGUGUACAUGACACAGUGGUCCUUUCCUGCCACUGCUGUUGAGCACCAUUUGGCUGCUGUUGUCGUCGUCCUGGUCAGCCGCUUCCUCGUGAGAACUGCUACCCUCUGCCACUUCGUUGCUAGUGGAGCGAUUCUCUUGGCGUUGAUCAUGGUCGGUUCUUUUUUCUGAGAGUUGGAGAUUCUAGCUGAGUUGCAAAUGCUUUGUUUGUGGAUGUGGCAAUGGUGUUUUGAGGCCACCGAACCAAGAAUUUAUAGCUGAAGACACCAGCCAUGUCAAGUGCCGUCAAUGGUUGGCUAAGUGAAUAAGGUCAUGAGGUUUGUUUGUGCCAUACCGCAAGAAGAUCAAGGAAAUAAUUGGGUUCAGAUAUUUCUGUAGGGCUGUUUGUUGCAUGAUGGGUACUGCCAUAGUGGCAUGUUUCGUGCAUAAGUAGCUUGAGGACCCCAUUCAAACAUCGUUCGGACAUUGUGUAAUGAGAUAUUGGCAGACAACCCUUGUGCAGGCCUCUUGGGUCCAGCCUUUUAUUGAUGGCUAACUGUAAAGGAUAGCUACUUAUUUUUGGUUGCAAGAGUAAUCAUUUCUUAA